rnacentral:rRNA from 1 species
AGCGAACGUUUGCGGCGGGCCUAACACAUGCAAGUCGAACGGGCAGGGGCAACCCUGUCAGUGGCGCACGGGUGCGUAACACGUGGGUAAUCAACCCUUUGGACUGGGACAACCCGGGGAAACUCGGGCUAAUACCGGAUGUGGCGUGGCGGUCCUCGGACUGCUCCGCGAAAGCUCCGCAAGGGGCACCAGAGGACGAGCCCGCGUCCCAUCAGCUAGUUGGUGAGGUAAUGGCUCACCAAGGCGAAGACGGGUAGCUGGUCUGAGAGGAUGAUCAGCCACACUGGAACUGAGACACGGUCCAGACUCCUACGGGAGGCAGCAGUGGGGAAUAUUGCGCAAUGGGCGAAAGCCUGACGCAGCCACGCCGCGUGUGCGAUGAAGGUCUUCGGAUCGUAAAGCACUGUGGGGGGAGAAGAAACAAGCCGGUGAAGAGCCGGCCCUGACGGUAUCCCCUUAGCAAGCACCGGCUAACUCCGUGCCAGCAGCCGCGGUAAAG